GGCUAUUUAGCUUAUUGGUAGAGUACUCAGCCAGUAUCUGAGGGGUAUGGGUUCAACUCCUGUAACCCCUA
rnacentral:tRNA from 1 species